rnacentral:rRNA from 1 species
UACGAAGGGUGCUAGCGUUGCUCGGAAUUACUGGGCGUAAAGCGCACGUAGGCGGACUCUUAAGUCGGUGGUGAAAUCCUGGAGCUCAACUCCAGAACUGCCUUCGAUACUGAGAGUCUCGAGUUCGGGAGAGGUGAGUGGAACUGCGAGUGUAGAGGUGAAAUUCGUAGAUAUUCGCAAGAACACCAGUGGCGAAGGCGGCUCCCUGGCCCGAUACUGACGCUGAGGUGCGAAAGCGUGGGGAGCAAACAGG